rnacentral:sRNA from 1 species
AUAGGGGAGAAAUUAGUAACUUUUGGUGGUACUGCUA